rnacentral:rRNA from 1 species
UUAUUUAUUUUAUUAUAUUUAUUUUUUGUUUAUUUAAUUAUUUAAUAAAAAUAAUUUUGGUGAAUUUUGUCUUAGUAUAUUUUGUAGAAUUGAUUUUUUAUAUUAUAGUUUAUUGGUAAUGUAAUUGUUUUAUGAAAUAUUAUUUUAAAUUUUUAAAAGUAGAUUUUAUUUAUUGUACCUUUUGUAUCAGGGUUUAUCAAAAUUUUAGUAUUUACUUUACUUGUCUCGAUUUGGGUUGAUUUAUAAAUAAUUUAUAGUUAAUGGAUCAUAAUUCUUAUUAAAUUAUUUAUAGAAAUGAGAUGUUAACCGUUUCCCAAGGUAUCCAGUUUCUUAAGAAAAAAUUUAAUUUUUUAAAGUUAAUUGUUUUAUUUAAUUUUUUAAGUAUAAAUAUUAACUUAUUUAUUCUUUAAGGGAUAAGCUUUGAAGUUAAUAACCUAUAAUUUGUUUUAAUAAAAUAUAAUAGUAAGCUUUAAACCCGCUAUCUUUAAGAUUACGUUUUAGUUCAUUAUUUUUAUUUUUGAUUUUAUAAUUAUUUUAGGUUUUUUAUAAAGAUUAUAAAUUUAAUUUUUAAAAUUUUGUAAUAAUGAUAGAAUUAGUAUAUUUAUUGGUAUAUAAUUUUUACCUGGUUAAUUUAUUAUAAGGAACUAGGC